CACGUGUUCCAUGGUUUUGACAACAAGCAGGUACAAUCUGGCAGGAGAUGUGUAUGCAGGCAGAGACAAAAUAACGUACUUCACUCACGCACAAGGAAAUUUUACCGUCAAGGUGACUUAUUAUAAGGAGCAGGGCUGCUAUGUAGGACUUCGGAGUGGUGGCUAUUACCCUAAGGGU